rnacentral:rRNA from 1 species
GAUGAACGCUGACAGAAUGCUUAACACAUGCAAGUCUUUGGCGAAGCUGUGCUUGCACAGCCUAGCCAAGGCGGACGGGUGAGUAACGCGUAAGGAACUUGCCCUGCAGUCAGGGAUAACAGACGGAAACGACUGAUAAGACCUGGUAAAGUCAGGCGGACUCAUGUCCAGCCUGAUGAAAAGAGAUGCUGCAGGAGAGCCUUGCGUCCUAUUAGCUUGUUGGUGGGGUAACGGCCCACCAAGGCGAUGAUAGGUAGCCGGCCUGAGAGGGUGGACGGCCACAAGGGGACUGAGAUACGGCCCUUACUCCUACGGGAGGCAGCAGUGGGGAAUAUUGGACAAUGGGGGCAACCCUGAUCCAGCAAUUCUGUGUGCACGAUGAAGGUUUUCGGAUUGUAAAGUGCUUUCAGCAGGGAAGAAAAAAAUGACGGUACCUGCAGAAGAAGCGACGGCUAAAUACGUGCCAGCAGCCGCGGUAAUACGUAUGUCGCAAGCGUUAUCCGGAAUUAUUGGGCAUAAAGGGCAUCUAGGCGGCCAGAUAAGUCUGGGGUGAAAACUUGCGGCUCAACCGCAAGCCUGCCCUGGAAACUAUGUGGCUAGAGUACUGGAGAGGUGGACGGAACUGCACGAGUAGAGGUGAAAUUCGUAGAUAUGUGCAGGAAUGCCGAUGAUGAAGAUAGUUCACUGGACGGUAACUGACGCCGAAGUGCGAAAGCUAGGGGAGCAAACAGG